rnacentral:lncRNA from 1 species
UCCACCUGUCAGGUCAGUCAGUAAUUGCUGCAGAUGUGCUCAAUAGUGCUUGAGCAUAUGAUACUCCCCGAAGCAUGGUGAAACACAGAGGUGUUUAGCUUGUAACCCACAUGUACUUUGUCAACCUCCUCUGCUUCCUUCUCCUGGUGCCAGACAGGCAGACUUUGCAGUGCCUCCGUGUGUGACUACCUUGAGAAGUAGUUUGAGGGACUUUGCAGGGAAAAGGCCGUACAGUGAUGCGUAGGGGAUUGUCCGCAGCAGGACGACCCCCAGUGGAUCGGCGCAGAGGGGUGUGGUGCUCCUCCAGCAGCUCUCUCAUGAGGAUCUCUCUGUACUUUAGGUAGGUCAUUACUUUACCUGGGGAGGAUGAGGGAAGGGAGAGGAUGAUGAGGCAGUGGGUAGGUGGGUGAGAUGUUUUACACCUCCAGCAGAGGAAUUACAUUUCUGAAUGCAUAUAAUUCAGUUUCACUGGCAUAUAGUAUGCUUUAUGGAUGGUUUAAACCGCAGUGAUUUAUGUCUGAGAUGAUAUGAUCAUGACUGGGCAUUCAAACAUAUCUGUAUCUAUUCAUCAAUAGUUUCUACCAGGUCCUCACAUUUUUGUUUUACAUAUUUUGUGUCAUCGGGAAAAGCUUCUAUCAACCCUUGAUACAGUUUGUAAAUCAACUUUGGAGGUUUGUCAGACUGCCUUAGAAUAGCAUCCCGCUUGUCCAGUGUUUGCAGCACAGAGAGAAAGCGUUGUAUCUGCAAAAAUUCCCCUCAGCUCCGUCACAGACUGCUCUUCCGUGGCUAACUGACCCUGCUGAGACCCCUGUCACCAUCUGAUCCUCCUAAGAAGAGGCAUGACAAAAUAUGACUUUGGUGUACAUUUAUACAUGACAUUAUCCUAGAAUAGAAUCAAUGGUUCAAUAAUUGAAAUGACCAUUAUUCCCAGAUCCCAGACAUGUAGCUUCAAGCUUAAACUGCUGUACUAUGGCUACUGUAGGUCUACCCAUCAAUUCAAGAUGGAGCUUUGUAUCAUUCACUGAUAUUGUUAAUAUACUGCAAAAUUCACCUGAGCACUGUGUUGUGUACUGACUCUGCACUAGAGUCACUCAGCAGGUUCCGACAGAUGAAAAUAUUGUACUUCUGUUGUACCUCAGAUUAUUUAGAAAUGGUCCUCUUUCUGCUUUGCAUGUUUUAGCCUAGCUAUUGUAUUAAAAACACAUCUGUUUCACGUUAUUCAAACACUCAGAAGUCGCUGCUUCAACUUCAGUAGCCUACGUCUCCUAGUUGGGCGUGAGAGUUCAAGUGCACCUAGUAUGUGCAGUCUCAUUGAAAUAGAGAAGGCUACCUACACGGGUGGAGAAUCACGUGACUGUUGACUUAAAUAGCUUACUAAAUAAAUAUUGAUAAUGGAAAGAAGUGGAGAGUGCUCAACCAACGUGAGUCAAAGUCUGAUCAAAAAAUGGAAUCAUCAUUGAACGGAGUUCAAUGUUUGGGCGGAGUUGCAAUCUACUGCAGGGAUAGCCUGCAGAGUUAUGUCUUACUAUCCAGGUCUGUGCCCAAGCAAUUUGAGCUUCUACUUUUAAAAAUCCACCUCUCCAGAAACAAGUCUCUUACCGUUGUCGCUUGCUAUAGACCACCACCUGCCCCCAGCUGUGCCCUGGAUACCAUAUGCGAAUUGAUUACCCCCCAUCUAUCUUCAGAGCUCGUGCUGUUAGGUGACCUAAACUGGGACAUGCUUAACACCCCGGCCAUCCUACAAUCUAAGCUUGAUGCCCUCAACCUCACACAAAUUAUCAAUGAACCCACCAGGUACAACCCCAAAUCCGUAAACACGGGCACCCUCAUAGAUAUCAUCCUAACCAACCUGCCCUCCAAAUACACCUCUGCUGUCUUCAACCAGGAUCUCAGAGAUCAUUGCCUGUGUCCGUAAUGUCUGCGGUCAAGCGACCACCCCUCAUCACUGUCAAAUGCUCCCUAAAACACUUCAGCGAGCAGGCCUUUCUAAUCGACCUGGCCUGGGUAUCCUGGAAGGAUAUUGACCUCAUUCCGUCAGUAGAGGAUGCCUGGUUGUUCUUUAAAAGUGCUUUCCUCACCAUCUUAAAUAAACAUGCCCCAUUCAAAAAAUGUAGAACCAGGAACAGAUAUAGCCCUUGGUUCACUCCAGACCUGACUGCCCUUGACCAACACAAAAAUAUCCUGUGGCGUACUGCAUUAGCAUCGACUAGCCCCCGCGAUAUGCAACUUUUCAGGGAAGUUAGGAACCAAUAUACACAGGCAGUUAGGAAAGCAAAGGCUAGCUUUUUCAAACAGAAAUUUGCAUCCUGUAGCACUAAGUGCAAAAAGUUCUGGGACACUGUAAAGUCCAUGGAGAAUAAGAGCACCUCCUCCCAGCUGCCCACUGCACUGAGGCUAGGAAACACUGUCACCACUGAUAAAUCCGCGCUAAUUGAGAAUUUCAAUAAGCAUUUUUCUACGGCUGGCCAUGCUUUCCACCUGGCUACCCCGACCCCGGUCAACAGCCCUGCACCCCUCACUGUAACUUGCCCAAGCCUCCCCCAUUUCUCCUUCACCCAAAUCCAGAUAGCUGAUGUUCUGAAAGAGCUGCAAAACCUGGACCCCUACAAAUCAGCAGGGCUAGACAUUCUGGACCCUCUUCCUAAAAUUAUCCGCCGAAAAUGUUGCAAUCCCUAUUACUAGCUUGUUCAACCUCUCUUUUGUAUCGUCUGAGAUCCCCAAAGAUUGGAAAGCUGCCGCGGUCAUCCCCUUCUUCAAAGGGGGAGACACUCUAGACCCAAACUGCUACAGACCUAUAUCUAUCCUACCCUGCCUUUCUAAGGUCUAAGAAAGCCAAGUUAUUAACAAACAGAUCACCGACCAUUUCGAAUCCCACCGUACCUUCUCCGCUAUGCAAUCUGGUUUCCGAGCUAGUCACGGGUGCACCUCAGCCACGCUCAAGGUCCUAAAUGAUAUCAUAACCGCCAUCAAUAAGAGACAAUACUGUGCAGCUGUAUUCAUCAACCUGGCCAAGGCUUUCGACUCUGUCAAUCACCACAUUCUUAUCGGCAGAAUCAACGGCCUUGGUUUCUCAAAUGACUGCUUUUAUACAAGGUACAUUUUUUUCCAGGACCCUAGGCUACAAAACAACUUCCCAUGUGUGCAACUUGUGCUAUUGUACAAGCAGCCCAGUGUCUUGGUGGGGUUCCAUGUACAACAUGACAGGCAGAGAGGAAGAGAGAAAAAGAACACAGAACAGUUUAAUUACCUCUGGUUAUGGACACUUUUGCCAGCAAAAAUGCUUCCUCGGACAGUGAACAUACAUCUGGCUGGCAAUAUCUACAUUUUCGACCCCUUGAUCAGCUCGCACUCUGAAAGUA